AUUGAACGCUGGCGGCAUGCCUUACACAUGCAAGUCGAACGGUAACAGGUCUUCGGAUGCUGACGAGUGGCGAACGGGUGAGUAAUGCAUCGGAACGUGCCCAGUAGUGGGGGAUAGCCCGGCGAAAGCCGGAUUAAUACCGCAUACGACCUGAGGGUGAAAGGGGGGGAUCGCAAGACCUCGCGCUAUUGGAGCGGCCGAUGUCAGAUUAGGUAGGUGGUGGGGUAAAGGCCCACCAAGCCGACGAUCUGUAGCUGGUCUGAGAGGACGACCAGCCACACUGGGACUGAGACACGGCCCAGACUCCUACGGGAGGCAGCAGUGGGGAAUUUUGGACAAUGGGCGCAAGCCUGAUCCAGCCAUGCCGCGUGCGGGAAGAAGGCCUUCGGGUUGUAAACCGCUUUUGUCAGGGAAGAAAUCCUUUGGGUUAAUACCUCGGGGGGAUGACGGUACCUGAAGAAUAAGCACCGGCUAACUACGUGCCAGCCGCCGCGGUAA
rnacentral:rRNA from 1 species